GAUGGAGUUGCGGAUGGUCGCGACAUUACGUCGAGGAAAGUCCGGACACCACAGGGCAUGAUGGUGGGUAACGCCCACUCGGAGCAAUCCGCAGGCUAGUGCCACAGAAAGUAGACCGCCCCGUAAGGGGUAAGGGUGAAAGGGUGGAGUAAGAGACCACCAGCGGGUGUGGUGACACGCCCGGCUCGGUAAACCCCAUCCGGUGCAAGAUCAAGCAGAACACGUCACGAGGCUGCCCGCCCAGUGUUCGGGUUGAUCGCUUGAGUACUGCGGCAACGCAGUCACCAGAUAGAUGAUCAUCAGCCAAUCGGAGCAUUCCGAUUGGUCACAGAAUCCGGCUUACAGCACUCCAUCCCGU
rnacentral:RNase_P_RNA from 1 species